ACCUUGGAUCCACUUGGAUCCACGCAAUAUUCUAUAUAUAUAUAUAU
rfam:Corchorus capsularis cultivar CVL-1 contig08692, whole genome shotgun sequence.